rnacentral:rRNA from 1 species
UGGGGGAAUUUUGGACAAUGGGCGAAAGCCUGAUCCAGCAAUGCCGCGUGUGUGAAGAAGGCCUUCGGGUUGUAAAGCACUUUUGUCCGGAAAGAAAUGGCUCUGGUUAAUACCUGGGGUCGAUGACGGUACCGGAAGAAUAAGGACCGGCUAACUACGUGCCAGCAGCCGCGGUAAUACGUAGGGUCCAAGCGUUAAUCGGAAUUACUGGGCGUAAAGCGUGCGCAGGCGGUUGUGCAAGACCGAUGUGAAAUCCCCGAGCUUAACUUGGGAAUUGCAUUGGUGACUGCACGGCUAGAGUGUGUCAGAGGGGGGUAGAAUUCCACGUGUAGCAGUGAAAUGCGUAGAGAUGUGGAGGGAAUACCGAUGGCGAAGGCAGCCCCCUGGGGAUAACACUGACGCUCAUGCACGAAAGCGUGGGGAGCAAACAGGAUUAGAUACCCCUGGUAGUCCACGCCCUAAACGAUGUCAACUAGUUGUUGGGGAUUCAUUUCCUUAGUAACGUAGCUAACGCGUGAAGUUGACCGCCUGGGGAGUACGGUCGCAAGAUUAAAAGCUCAAAUGAUUUGACGGGGGCU